rnacentral:misc_RNA from 1 species
AGAACUUUUAGAUUGACAAAACUUAGGGUUUAGCAUUUGGAAAUUGAGAAUGGCGACGCCGACGACCUCACCGAACUCUGAAUCCGAUUCCGACGUUGAAACAAGUCCGGUGGCGAACCCGUCACCCGGACAGAAUCCUCAAUUCACCUCUGAUGCGUUAACCACUGCGAUUCCGUCUACUCCAGUCGUAUGCCUCCUUAGGUUCGCCGGUGACUCUGCUGCUGGAGCCUUCAUGGGAUCCAUUUUCGGAUACGGCUCAGGAUUAAUAAAGAAGAAAGGUUUUAAAGGAUCCUUUGGGGAAGCAGGAGCUUCGGCAAAGACUUUUGCAGUUUUAUCAGGAGUUCAUAGUUUAGUUGUCUGUUUCUUGAAGAGAAUACGGGGAAAAGAUGAUGUUAUCAAUGCUGGAGUAGCUGGAUGUUGCACUGGUCUUGCCCUAAGUUUUCCAGGUGCACCUCAGGCUCUACUACAGAGUUGUCUCACCUUUGGGGCAUUUUCUUUCAUCAUCGAAGGUCUUAACAAGCAGCAACCUGCAUUAGCUCUUACAUCUCACAUGAAUGUCAACAGUAGACAGCAAUUUGGUGUGCUUGCUCCUUUAUCUCUACCUCUACCAAAUGAGCUCAAGGAAUCCUUUUCAUUCUUCUGCCAGUCCCUUAAAAAUCGUCGACAUGGCUCCCGUUAGAUAGUGAAGAAAUGCAAAAAAAUGUCGUUUUCAACCAUUUGGCACUAUUAUCAAGUUUUGUAAAUUGUAAUCGACUUACCUUUAUCCUGCUUUAAGAGUGAUAAUUCUUGCUGUGUCUCUUUUAUUAAUACAAAACAAUUUU